rnacentral:sRNA from 1 species
UGCGUUAGAAAAGGCCUACACCGAUGGC